UCUUAGUUUCUCUUUUAGUUUGAAAGAUAAUUUUUGCCACAUUUAAAAUUCUUGGUUGAAUCUCUAAGCACUUUAAUAUUUCAUCCCACUGCAUUUUGACCUCCAUGAAUUCUGAAGAAAAAUCAGAUAUUAACCUUACUGAUUGAGAUCCCUUGUACUGGAGGAGUCUCUUUUUUCUUGUUACAUUGUUGUCUUUGAACAAUUUAAUUAAAACAAGACUUGGUGUGGAUCUUUCAGUUUAUCCUACUGGGUCUGUUGAGCUUCUUGGACAUGUAGAUUUAUAUCUUUCAUCAAAUUUGGGACAUUCUGACCAUUAUAUUUUCAGAUGUUCUUGUUACCCCUUUCCCUUCUCUCCUCUUUCUUGGGUCCACAAAUUAUGUUCAAGUUUCAAACGACUAAAGAUCCAUUCAGAGAUGUCAGCCCUGACCCCCCAAGAGGAAGAGGAAGCUAGUAAGGAGUGAAAAGGACAGAAAAGGCCCAGAGAAACCGAAUGUCCAAAUUGCCAUCAUGGAAACAACUGAAGAAUAUGAUGCAACAGGCUGAAAAGAUGGUUCAACAACAAGGAGAAACUAAGUCUCCAGCUAUAAAGUUUGUGGCUACGAUGGCUCUAUUGAGCUGUCAGGUUGUCGUACCCUUAGAACAAAAAUGUGGGAGCUUGAACUAACAGCUCAUCAUUUACAUUUACAAAGUAAAAAGAGGGAAUAUGCGGGGAAGCCAUCUGUGAAAUACAUGAGGACCUUUUCAGCAUCGUAGCCAAGGAGUGGGUAGACUGGCACUGGGAACUUCUUGUGGCAGUGCCACCAGGAUAGACUGCCUGAUGCAAGUGAACUUCCCCUCUGCUCUGCCAGAAGGUCCCACGCAGCACUGGAGAUGGGCAUGACUCUGCUAGGAAUGGAGCAGCCUACCUGCCCCCAUCUCUAUCCUGUUUUGGUGAAGAACUUUCCAUAGAAUUUCUUUGAUGUCUUCUGUUAAAAAUAAAGCAAACAUAGGCUCCUUUCUUUGUUAGAAGCCGGA